rnacentral:rRNA from 1 species
GACGAACGCUGGCGGCGUGCUUAACACAUGCAAGUCGAACGGAAAGGCCCCUUUGGGGGUACUCGAGUGGCGAACGGGUGAGUAACACGUGAGUAACCUGCCCUUGACUUCGGGAUAACUUCAGGAAACUGGGGCUAAUACCGGAUAGGAAUCCUUGCCGCAUGGUGGGGGUUGGAAAGCUUCGGCGGUUUUGGAUGGACUCGCGGCUUAUCAGCUUGUUGGUGGGGGAGUGGCUUACCAAGGCUUUGACGGGUAGCCGGCCUGAGAGGGCGACCGGCCACAUUGGGACUGAGAUACGGCCCAGACUCCUACGGGAGGCAGCAGGGGGGAAUAUUGCACAAUGGGCGGAAGCCUGAUGCAGCAACGCCGCGGGCGGGAUGACGGCCUUCGGGUUGUAAACCGCUUUCAGCAGGGGCGAAGCUUGUGGUGACGGUACCUGCAGAAGAAGCACCGGCUAACUACGUG